GGAAUCUUAUUUACACUGGUUUUGAAAGUUGAGGGACACAACUAAUUUUAGAAUCGACGAUAAAUUGAAGGACCUCAAGUGAACUAACUCCGAGGAUAAAUCCACAUGGAAAAAGUACACCCAAGGUCCCUCAACUUGUUAUCGGGAUAAAAAACGUCCUCAAACCGUAAAACCAGAUACCGCGAGUCCCUUAACUAUACAAAACCGGUCACAAUAGGUCCCUCGGUGGU
rnacentral:misc_RNA from 1 species